AAGCCGAACUGGGUCAAAUAUGUAAGAAAAAAAAGAAGGAAAUUUUUGUGGUAAAAUUUGUAAUGGGUCGGAUGCGUGAUUGAGUAAUUAGAAACCAUGAUUUGUAAUAAAUAUAAUUGUUUGGUCGUAUAGACCAAAUGGGUCAAAUGAUGGUGAUAACAUCAUAUGACCAUAUUGACUAAUGUUGGUUGUUAAGUCAUAUGUUUACAGGAACGAAUAGCAAUUUGGAUAAUUGCGUCAUCAUAGAAUAUUGAAUUAAUAAUAGCAAGGUAUAAACGGGUCUAUACGUUGACUCGAGCCAGGUGAUGUUCGUCUCAUUUCGGAUGCCGAUCAAGCAAGAAUUCAAGAACCGAACACAAAGUUUUGAAGCUUCCGCGCUAACCUAAUCUUGUUUGAGACAAUGUUUAUUUGUAAACACUAAACUCAAUGUUGUAUGUUUAAACUAGUUAGUUUGUAAACUAGAAUACCAUAACCAUGUAAACUUAGUUUUUAUAACUAAGUUUUGAAA